GUCUACGGCCAUGCCACCCUGAACGUGCCCAACCUCGGAAGCUAAGCAGGGUCAGGCCUGGUUAGUAGUACUUGGAUGGGAGACCACCCAGGAAGAUCAGGUGCUGGAGGCA
rnacentral:rRNA from 1 species